UACGUAGGGGGCAAGCGUUGUCCGGAAUUAUUGGGCGUAAAGAGCGUGUAGGUGGCUCGGUAAGUCCGCUGUGAAAGUCCAGGGCUCAACCCUGGAAAGCCGGUGGAAACUGUCGAGCUAGAGUCCGGAAGAGGCGAGUGGAAUUCCUGGUGUAGCGGUGAAAUGCGCAGAUAUCAGGAGGAACACCAAUGGCGAAGGCAGCUCGCUGGGACGGUACUGACACUGAGACGCGAAAGCGUGGGGAGCAAACAGG
rnacentral:rRNA from 1 species